CUCACCUCAUCGGAGUUCCGGUAAAACGCGGAGCUCCAGUUUUUCAGCCCCUCCUGGAGCUCCACGAUGUCCACCACGCCGCCCCCUUUGUGGUCCAGGUCUUCGAAGAGGAUCCCGUGGCGGCUCCGUGGGAGUGGAACCCUCUGAGCGACGCCGCUUGGCUCCCUGGCUACAGUUCCCUUUCCACAGGAGUGGACGUUUUUCCUGCCUCCCUGGUGUUCCAGGUGUUGCUGAAGUAAAAACUCUAGCUCAGCGCCUGCCCAAACGGCCUCGGACAGCCACAGACCAGAGCUGCUUCUAGUGUGCCAUCUUGACUCCUCACCACCAAGAAAAGCAAAACAAUCUAGAAGAGGUGAAAGGACAAGAGACAGUUGCUCCCAGAAAUUAAAAAGGAUCAAGAGGAGGUAGAAGACCAAGACCCACCAUGCCCCAGGCUAAGCCAGGAGCUGCCAGAGGUGAAGGAGCAGGAAGUCCCAGAGGACUCUAUGAAUGAAGUUUACUUGACUCCUUCAGUUCACCGUGACCUGUCUGACUGCCACCAGCCUUAUAGCAGCACCUUGUCCCGACUAGAGGAUCAGCUCACAUGCUCUGUUCUGGAUAUAGUUUGUGAGUACUCCAGGCUGAAGGUCACAAAGCUCCACUGUCCUCUCAGGCAGCCUCCAUAUGUUUUGUUUCUGCAACUUGUGCAGCUGAGACAGACCACCAAUGCAGGCAGUCCCUAUACACUGAACCUGUUUUGAAUCUGGCUCUUGGAUCCAGUUUUAAGCACAGACAUCCUGUGGGAGAAACUUCCUCUACUCCUGUCUAAAAUGACUCCUCUGUCACCUUGCUCCUCACAAAAGCAGGCUGUGGGCAUCAAAACAGGCCAGAGAGUGGAGGGGUGAGGGUUUAUUGCAACUCCUUGGCCACAGUAGCUCAUCUGGAGAUAUUUGUAUAACAAACCAUCUUCUGUAAGAUAGGGUAUCUUUCUUUUCUGAAAUUAUGUUGCUAAUUGCAUGCCUUGAAGAGUGCCCUUAUAUAUUCUCUGGCCAUCCACCCAUGCAGGCAGUUUUGCCCAAUUUUGGAGUCCUGUUUCAUGAUUCCUGUGUCUCAUGCUAGAUUCUCUACUUUAGAUAUCCCCAACUCUGGGGCCAUGGACCAUUAUGGGUCAGACAGGUCACGGUGAACUGAAGGAGUCAAGUAAACUUCAUUCAUAGAGUCCUCUGGGACUUCCUGCUCCUUCACUUCUGGCAGCUCCUGGCUCAGGCUGGUGGGUAAAGAAGACAGAAGAUAAACACCAGAGAACCAAAAGCACUGUGCAGGAGGUGAGCGCUGGGAGAGCAUGACUGCCUGAAUGCCACCUCCUGUCAGAUCAGCAGUGGCAUUAGAUUCUCACAGGAGCUCGAACCCUAUUGCGAAUUGUGCAUGUGAGGUAUCUAGGUUGUGCACUAAUCAUGAGAAUCUAAUACCUGAUGAUCUGUCACUGUCUCCCAGUGACUGUCACCCCCAGAUAGGAACACCUAGUUGCAGGAAAACAAGGUUUUUUUUCAGGGCUCUCACUGAUUCUACAUUUUGGUGGGUUGUAUAAUUAUUUUAUUAGAUAUUACAAUGUAAUAAUUAUAGAAAUAAAGUGUGCAAAAUAUGUAAUGUGCUUAAAUCAUCCCCAAACCAUCCCCCCUGUCCUUGUCCCUGAAAAAUUGUCUUCCAUGAAACUGGACCCUGGUGCUAAAAAGGUUGGGAAUUGCGGCUCUACUUGCUCCGAGGUGUCUUCCCUCCACUGAUGCAGUCCAGUGUCCCUUCCUUUAUGCAUGUCCAGGCUUACAUCCUCUGCAGAGCUCCAGUGGUUUUUCCAUGUGUGCAUUGGUAGUUUCAAUCACGUGUUAGCCUCAGUGCUAUAUUCUCAUGAAAACCAUUGACAACUAAUGUUUCUGAUAAGUGCUGGCCUAACUGAUAAGCAAAACAGAGUGAUUUCUGUUCCCAUGAUGUCCAGAAAAUACUCCCUCUGAAAAAGUGCCCCUUGCGGUAGCAACUUCAUGGGAUACAUAGAAAAAAAUCCCAAUCUUCACGUCUUCUUGCUUAUGUUAGUUUUUUAACUUCUGUUCUGGGAGUUUCCUAUGGAUGGUUGGGAGUUUCAUCCAUCAAUUUAUUUUCUAGUAAGGCCAGGUAACUCUGUGAUGUUCCCCAGUAUAUCUGAUUAUGUUAUAAUAAAAUUAACAAUAAUGCCAGGUGCGGUGGCUCAUGCCUGUAAUUCCAGCACUUUGAGAGGCUGAGGCAGGUGGAUUGCUUGAGAUCAGGAGCUUGACACCAGAGUGAGCCACAUGAUAAAAGCCAGUCUCUACAAAAAAUUAGCCGGGUAUGAUGAUACACACUUGUAGUCCCAGCUACUUAAAAGGCUGAGGUAAAAGAAUCACCCAAGCCUGGGAAGUUGAGGCUGCAGUGAGCUGUGAUUACACCACUGCAUUCCAGCCUGAGCAACAAAGCAAGACCCUGUCUCCAAAAAAAAAAAAAGAAAAAGAAAAGAAAAAGUAGCAACAAAAAUGUUGGCCUUUAUCCUAUUUUGUUCAGUAAGUGCAUUUCCUGUUGAGACCAUUCCCUUUCCCCUUUUCCAUUUCUCCAUGAGUUUCAAAGAAGGAAACUCUUUUCUAGAAUCACAGCAAUUCAUUAAUCAGAAAUAAAAUACACAUUGACCUUGCAUCUGCCGUCUGCCCUGCUCCCUGCCAAAGAAGCUCUUUCCUACUAUAAUGCAUUCAGUGCUCAAAGGACACUCCCAAGUGGGCAGUGGUUCUGUGAAAGAGCUGAAGACGCUGAGGCUUGGAAAGUUUCCUUCACUUGUCCAGGAUGCCCCAUGUCUGCCUGACUCCAUGGCCCAGUCACUGUCAUUUCUCUGUGGAGGGACCUGUCAGAGACUGAACCAAGAUGGGUGCUCACCCUUUUUCUUAUUGUUGAAAUUAUUUUGGAAUAAUUUUAACUUGAAACAGAGAAGUUGCUGUUCCGGUAUUAAGAACUGUAGCCACUGGCACAAUUUCUCAAGAAGGAUUACGUCUGUGUACUUUUCUGUGAGCAGAGUCAGUAGUUCCUCCAGUUCCUCCAGGGGGACCUACAUCUCCAGCAGGCUCUCCCUGAUAAAGCACUCAGGGCAUGAAAGGUCCUAGUCCCUAGCCACCUCCUGUCCCCAGGGUUUCGACUCUCAUUUUGGAGAUCUUAAGCCCCUGUAAAGCUGUGGGGCUCCAUCUCAGGAACACCCAAGCCAGGGCAGGCUCCCAUGAGAAUGAAGGGGAAUGUUCAGACAUGUGUCUCAGAAGUGAGAUGCCUGUGAUAUGGGCCAGCCCUGCCAGGGCAUCAUGAAACAUGGGCCAGGAGUGGCUACAUUCAUCCAUGCCAAUGGGUCGAGAUGAAUGAAUGUGCCCUUCAAAUUACACAGGGAUGCAUCCUGUGUGUGGCUUCAUGACAAUAAUGAGUGAAUAGUGUGUCCAGGGGUCUGACAAUAAUGUGUGAAUAGUGUGCACAUUGCACACCUCUGACCCCAGCAGCUGUGUCAAAGGCGAUUUGCUCCACUUAUCCUUUUCCUACAGAGAGAAACUUGGUAGAACCAGGGAGAAUACAACCAAAAUUAUCACUUUCUCCCAUCAAUAGCUUUCCCUCACCUGCCCAAUGAACAAUACUACAUUACUUCAGAAGUUUAAAAAAAUUUUGUCCCAUUAAUCCUGCAAUUGCAAAGAAUAAAAUAAAAGUUUAAAAGAAUCAGCAGUUUAGAAAAGAGGGAUAAAGUGAUAUAAAUUAAGUAGUAAUAAUCAAAAACAUUCCCAGAGCUUGACUUUAAGUAGCAAGUGCAGAGAAUCAGAAAGGGAGAGCAGUUUGCCCAGUCUUCAUCAGCCAGAUUUGUAAUUUCAGGAUGUUUUUCUCUUUUGCCCAAUAUGAACGAUUUUAAAAUGUGAGAGUGUCCUAAGUGGCUGAGGGUUAAUGAUUGCUGAAGUGUGCCCUGUGCAAAUAGGGAGGCCACAGCAGGCCCAGAGAAGAGCUCCUGGGAAAAGACCACAAAGCUGGAUGGCACCUGGUGCAGGGUUGGCCAUGGAGGGGCCAGCAUGACUCCAGGGGAGAAUCUGUUUGAGUGAGUGGUGGGAGGCGAUGCUGGAUAGGAUCGUGGGGCAGAUGUUACAAGGAUCACAGAGGCAGGGUGAGGGGGACAGUCACGUAGUGGGCAGUGGGAAGAAAGUUUUCAGAUGUAGAGUAUCAACAUGGUAAGAACAGGGCUUUGGGGUCAUAAAACUGCUAAGGCAAUUGCUAGAGUGGAGAUGGCAGAAUUGGAGAAAGCAGAGUGCGGGGGGUGUUUGAAACCAAGCAUCAGUGAUGAGAGUCUGAUAUAGUAUGCUCUCAGGAAGAUGAAAGAGAACUAACACAUGGAGGCAUUUUUAAGAAAACUUAGAGAAACCUUGUAGAAAAUGAGGAUGUGGAGAGGGGCUUAAACCAUUAUAGGCAAUGGGAAAUUCAAAACAUCCCAGAACCUUGAAAAGUUUACCACUUUUUGUGUUUUGUCUGCAUAAUCUCAGUCCCCUUUUUCAUGGUUCUUUUUUAAAGCCUCAUGGCUCAAACUCUUGCCCUGUUCUUAUUUCCCUGUGUGUGGAGAACAGCUCCUACUCUCCUAUGCUCUGAGAGCUCUCUAGAACUUUCCCUGUGGGCCACAGGAAGGAGAUAAAUAAUAACAGAAUGAUUGCCAUGACCUUUCUAGACAAUCCAAAGCCCUGUGGGCUGAGAAGGGGUUUUUCACUUCAGGGACAUUCCAGCCUGAGCACCUGCCCUGUCAGCAUCCCCAGGCACAAACAGGAAUGGUGACAUCACCAGCAUUUACAUGAUGUCUAUCUGUGUGGCCCAGGUCACUGGGUGGCUUUACUGAGAGGCAGGGACAUCAGGGAUGGGUGUCCUGGGUGUGCUUAACAAAGGGAAAACUGAGAUUAUUCCUACUGAAGCCUCUUCUCCUUUAGGCUUCCACCCAGGCAGCCUGUGCCCAAAGGAAUUGGAGUGGAGUCUUCAGCCACCACCUGUCAGAGGUGCAGGCUUCACAAGCACAGCUGCAACCAAGAACCCUGGUGCACAAUUGUCUGCAACUACAGCUGGGUCAAGGGUUCAACUGUGGGAAUGGCUUAGUCAGGCGGGGCCUUUCCUCCACCACCUGUGGCUUCAUAGUCAAGAUGAUUCUGGGAACCAAUGGGCCUUCCAAGAUAGGGAAGAAAAGGGGAACAGGAAUGUCUAAUCCAGAUGAUGAUGGUCAUGGUGCUGUGGGUGGAGGAGAGAAUGGGGUCUCUCCUUGCUCCCUCAGGGUCAGGUUGAAAUCCAUGAUUUUCCAACCCAAUGAGGUGAGCAAGAGCCUGGGGCUUAGGAUGUGAUAUGCUCUGAGGUCUUGGGUUUGCCACUUUCUGCUUUUUCACUUUGGCCAAGGUUUUUGUCUUUUUGCUAUUUACAUCUCUGUUCCCUGAUCUGAGAUAUCUGAAAAGUACUAUUUACCUGCCAUCAUUAUUGAGAAUAUUAAUUAUUAUAAUUUUCAAAGGACCUGGUUCCAUAAGAUUGACCAAUAAACCUAUGAAUAGGUGUUAUCUAAUCCUUUUAUCCUUCCACCAAAUUUACACUUAGAAAGUGACUUCACAGUGUUGUUUCAUCUGAGGUAGAGCAAUUGUGAAGAUCUAGGCUUUCUAGAGACCCCUCUUCCUUUCUUUUCUCACACAUACUCCUCUGCCUGUUAUCUUUCUCUUCUUUCCCAUCCCUCAUGAAGCCAAUUUUUGCCUAUCAGGCACUUUCAGUAACAACCUAUGAGGUACGUUCAGUAAUAGUGUAAAUCCUGGGCGCACAGCCAGUCUCCUGACAUGUCCAGCUGCUGCUUCUGCUUUUUCUCUGCUCUUUUUGAAAAUGAAGGGCAACUUCCACAUGGAAAGUGUUCGCAUCAGUGUCUUUUAUGAAACUGCAUUUAGUUCAUCAUCUCCACUCAUGUCCACGGCCAUGUCCUCAGUUUCCAUCUCACAGGGAUCCACUUCUGCUCAGAUUUCCUUAAAACCCUGGGUCGUGUUCAUUCUCACUCUCUGUCCCACUCAAUAUCUCCCCCUGGAGCCCCUGGGGCUGCCUGGUGCUCAUCUGUCAGGAGAUGCCCUCGGCUGAGGAAUGAGGGGACCCUUGUCCUCAGGAGGAGGGAGGGUCAUGUGAGAUAAUGAGCACCAUCUGGGUCCGUGGAGAGGACACACAGAAGGCACUCAGCAGGUAUCGGGGAUACGCAGCACCUGACAUGUGCCGUGAUAUCUUAUUUAAACUGAUUUCUUCCCACCAGAAAAGAAUCUCCUUUGCUUCUCUAUGGAUUCUCACACCCCCAGCCAAGACUCACCCUACUGGCUCAGACACUGUCUCUUGUUCACUUUCCCUGAAGUCCAGAGCAUGAACCAGGCUCUAGGUAAGAGAAAAGGGUGAAUGCCUUUAGUCUCAUUCAUAUUUUUCUUCACCUGGUGACUUCUCCCUGCUGUCUAACAGGUCAUUUGUUGCUCUCCACACCUUUUCUUUCUCAUUCUUCUCAUAUUUGUAAUUUUUUCUUCCAAUAUCAAUGGACCGGAAUAGUCAUUAUCCUGUUACAUCCAAUAUUCCUCUAAUCCCUGUAUAAUAUUUUUUAAUUAGAUUAAUAUAUACAUUUAUAUGCAUUGAUAUUGUUUGUCAUAUAUUAUGUGUAUUUGGCGCGUAGGCUACAUAGGGUGUAUAUAUAUCAAUAGAUCAUAUAUAGUGGUACAAGUUUUGUAAAUUCUCCAGGUUUAGUCUUCUCCAGUUAUUUUCAGUCAUCAGCUGCUGUAACCUCUGUCUGGUCUCACCUCUGUGUCCCAAGGGCUACCACCCUACCAGGCCUUCUGUCCCCAUCUCCUGUUUGAACUCAGCUCUGAUUUAACUUUCACUUUUAUAAUCUCUUCCCUCCCCAAAGCACAGCCUAUAUACAGUGUGAUUUCCUUGCUUUCGCCUUAUCUACCAGAAAGCUAUUUGUGUUUCUUAAAUAUUUUUGUGAAUUGGGAGUGCCUUUACCUCCUGGCAAACUUGUCAUUACUGAGUAAUGUAAGAAAGAUCAACAAAAAAGAAAAUAUUCUAUUGACUUCCUCUUGCCCUUUGGACUUUCUUGUCCAAGGCCACAUUCCUGAUUUGAUGUCCUUUGGGUGGAAGAGAAAGUCACAGUAAGAUCACGGAUGCUGAUGUUUUAUUUUUCAGAGCUAGUUUUAGAGCCCUCCGUUGUGAUGAAGAACCCUCCACAGCUGGAAGGUGAUGCACUUGAAAGCUCAGCAGACAACACACAAGGGUGUCAAAUCAUUGGCCACAUUCAGGCCUCCAGUUGGUCUAGAUAUUGAGAAUAUUUCUAGAAAUGCCUUAAGGUUUAACCAGGUGUGGAAUGAACUUCAGGACAUUAGAGAAAAUAAGUUGGGUCCUGGUUAUGGUCCUCGCUCUGUCUUUGCUAACACCAUUUUGAGCCUCUUUUUUAAAAAAAUUUUCUUUCUUUCUUUCCUAAUGCCCUUUGGAGGAAUACUUUUAUUUGUUUUUUUCUUUAUUUUUUAUUUUUAACCAACCAAACAAGCAGCAGUGACAUUAUAUUUCUUUGUAAAACUUAUUUCUAUCCUAGACAAGAUAACCCAACAGCUUCUUGUGACUGUUGAGACCUCCAGAUUGAAGCCUUUCCUCUCACUUCCUCCAGUCUUUAUUGAAAGGGCCUUAGUUUGUGGGUACUAUUUCCUGGGCUGUCAAUAGCAAGUUCUGUGGCCUUAUUUCAGUCUUACUCCAGUGGCAUCACUACUCCUUGGUUUUAAAAGGUGGAAGUGGACGUGGAUGUUGUCUGAGGUUCCUGCUGCUUCUUAUAUCCAGAGUUCUUCCCAUGGCACUCCCUCUCCUGCCUAGAAGACUGGGACAGGGAGUUGUAAGGUGAUACCUAAUACUGCUGUAAGGAUGGAAAGGAUGAAAGGAUGUCACAUAAAAAAGUAGCUUUUCCCCUUGAUGAAAAAACUAAAGCAGCAUAGUAAGUUCAAGUUUAAACACAACGACACUGCAGGGAUCCUUCGCUGAGGAUUGAAUUUUAGACCACGGAAUGCUCUUGAUGAUUUCAGUCGACUAGGCUUCUUUGAUCUGAGAAGCCACAGUCCAUCCCCCUCCAAUUGUGAUGAAUACCUAAGGAGAUCAAUUCCCAGAUGGACAAACAGCAUUGACAGGCCUUAGCCCAGAUUCUUGAGGAAUCACAUCCGGAAUUUCAUAUCCAGCCAAACUAAGCUUCAAAAGUAAAGGAGAAAUAAAAUCAUUUGCGGACAAGAAAUUCUUGAGAGACUUUGUCACCCCAGGCCUGCCUUACAAGAGCUCCUGAAGGAAGCACUAAACAUGGAAAGGAACAACCAGAACCAGCACUGCAAAAAUGUACCAAAUGGUAAAGACCAUUGACACAAUGAAGAAACUGCGUCAACUAACAAGCAAAACAACCAACUAGUAUCCAAAUGGCAGGAUCAAAUUCACCCAUAAUGAUAUUAACCUUAAAUGUUGCUAUUUAAUUUAACUUUCAAUGUUAAUAUUUUGAUGGGGCUAAUUGCUCCAAUCAAAAGACAGACUGACAAAUUGGAUAAAGAGUCAAGACCCAUCAGUGUGCUAUAUUCAGGAGACCCAUCACAUGUGUAAAGACACACAUAGACUCAAAAUAAAGGAAUGGAGGAAGAUUUACCAAGCAAAUGGAGAACAAAAAAAAGCAGGAGUUGCAAUCCUAAUCUCCAAUAAAAUGAACUUUAAACCAAUAAAAAUCAAAAGAGACAAAGAAGGGCAUUACAUAAUGGUAAAGGGAUCAAUGCAACAAGAAGAGCUAACUAUUCUAAAUAUAUAUGUACCCAAUAUAGAGGCACCCAGAUACAUAAAUCAAGUUCUUAAUGACCUGCAAAGAGACUUAGGCUCCCACACAAUAAUACUGGGAGACUUUAACAAUCCACUGUCAAUAUUAGACAGAUCAACGAGACAGAAAAUGAACAAGGAUAUCCAGGACUUGAACUCAGGUCUGGACCAAGUGGACCUAAUAGACAUCUACAGAACUCUCCACCCCAAAUCUACAGAAUAUUCAUUCUUCUCAGCACCACAUUGCACUUACUCUAAAAUUGACCACAUAAUUGGAAGUAAAUCAGUCCUCAGCAAAUGCAAAAGAAUGGAAAUCAUAACAACCAGUCUCUCAGACCACAGUGCAAUCAAAUUAGAACUCAGGAUUAAGAAACUCACUGGAAACUGCCCAGCUACAUGGAAACUGAACAACCUGCUCCUGAAUGACUACUGGAUAAAUAAUGAAAUGAAGUCAGAAAUAGAGAUGUUCAUCAAAGCCAAUGAGAAUGAAGACACAACAUACCAGAAUCUCUGGGACACAUUUAAAGCAGUGUCUAGAAAGGAAUUUAUAGCACAAAAUGCCCACAUGAGAAAUAAGGAAAGAUCUAAAAUCAACACCCUAAUAGCCACAAUUAAAAGAACUAGAUGAGCAAGGUCAAACAAAUUCAAAAGCUAGCAGAAGGCAAGAAAUAACUAAGAUCAGAGCAGAACUGAAGGAGAUAGAGACACAAAAAACCCUUCAAAAAAAUCAAUGAAUCCUGGACAUUUUCUUUCUCAAAAUUUUACUAUAUACUUAUUUUUGCUGGCAUUCUUUGUAACAAAGAAUAUCCCUGCCCAAAUUUUAAUGUUUAACCAAAAUUAAUUUUACUUUGUUUUUGCUGGCGUUCUAUUGUGAAAAACACUAUUCCCUGCCCCAAUCUUAACUUUCAUCCAAAAUUAAUUUUAGUCCAUUCGUUAAAAUGUGUAAGUUUUUAAAUCUGUUUAAUUAAAAGGUUUUUUUUGCCUA